rnacentral:tRNA from 1 species
GCCAGUGUGGUGUAGUGGUUUGAGCACUGGACUAUGACUCUGAAGACCAGGGUUCUAAUUCCAGCUUGGCCA